CCUACGGGAGGCAGCAGUGGGGAAUAUUGCACAAUGGGGGAAACCCUGAUGCAGCGACGCCGCGUGAGAGAAGAAGUAUUUCGGUAUGUAAAGCUCUAUCAGCAGGGAAGAAAAUGACGGUACCUGAGUAAGAAGCCCCGGCUAACUACGUGCCAGCAGCCGCGGUAAUACGUAGGGGGCACGCGUUAUCCGGAUUUACUGGGUGUAAAGGGAGCGUAGACGGCAGUGCAAGUCUGGAGUGAAAGGCGGGGGCUCAACCCCCGGACUGCUCUGGAAACUGUACGGCUGGAGUGCAGGAGAGGUAAGUGGAAUUCCGGGUGUAGCGGGGAAAUGCGUAGAUAUUAGGAGGAACACCAGUGGCGAAGGCGGCUUACUGGACUGUAACUGACGUUGAGGCUCGAAAGCGUGGGGAGCAAACAGGAUUAGAUACCCUAGUAGUC
rnacentral:rRNA from 1 species